AAGGCAAAAAGAAAAAAAAAAAGUGAUUUAAGUAUCUCCUGAUCCUGUCCCCUCCUCUCAAUCUUCACCUACCACACUGCUUUCUUUCUGGGAUGCAGCUCCAAGCCUGACAUUUAUUUUAAAAUGUCUCUCCCACGUCCUGCCGGGUAAAGCCCAAACCCUGUACCGGGAAAGGUAAAGUUACCUGUCCACCCCUGUGCCCAAUCACCUUCUAUUCUGACCAGUGUUCUCCCACUGUCUGUGUCUGUUCUGGGCGCUUCCAGGCCUCCACAUCUCCAGGACUUUGCACCAGAAAUUCUUUCCACUAGAAUAUGUUCACUGCUUCUUACUCAACAUUGGCAAUAUCCAUUGGGUCUCCAGAGGCUCCGGUUUUUUAUGUUUUGCUUUUGAAGGCCGCACCUGUGGCUUGUGGAGGUUCCCAGGCUAGGGGUCUAAUCAGAGCUACAGCUUCCGGCCUACACCACAGAUAGCCACAGCAAUGCCAGAUCGGAGCCGCGUCUACAACCUACACCACAGCUCAUGGCAACGCUGGAUCCUUAACCCACUGAUCGAGGCCAGGGAUGGAACCCACAACCUCAUCGUUCCUAGUUGGAUUCAUUUCUGCUAUACCAUGACGGGAACUCCAGGUUCCUGUUUUUUAAAUACAGUUUAAGCAAUCUGUAUUUUUAAACCCUUAAUUUUUUAAUUUCUACUAACUGGCCUACUCAUUUUAAUUCUGAAAAUCAAACCCAUGAAAGUCAUACCAAUGCCAAACAACCAAUAUACACUUUGGGGUUAAAAGUUAGGAGCAGCAGUGACACUAUGGUUUAGUGUGACCAUCCUGUCCUAUCACAGGAGAUCAACACCUGAGCAUGUUUUGUCACAUGCGGGGUGUCGACUACGUGAUGGUAUCGUGUUGGACACUGUCUGUCAAUAUCGCUAAUACUUGCCACAUCCCCAUGAGCCCAGAGGUGUUUAUAACUGUCCCUAGUUUACAGACGAGGAAGUUGAGGAGCAGGUAGGAAAGGUAAUUGAAAAUAAUAAACUUCUGUAGAAUGAAGUAGAACCUCCAUAGAGAGAACACAUUCUAUGGAGAAAACUCUGUCCCAGAAGCUGAGAGAACAGAUCCGUUGAUAGACUCAGGUGCUGCCAAGAGGUCAAGUCACAUGCAACUUGCCUAAAAAACAAAAAUUGAAAGUUGAUAGAUUCGAUUGAAAAUCCUGAUGGAUUAACACAAACUGAACGCAGGUGAUGACUGCCACCCAGAACAAGACCUAGAACCUCACCAGUGCCCCCAAAAUGCUCCCUUGUGUCCCUCCUGGGGCAUCACCCCACCCUCCUUCCCCAAGGUAACCAUUGUCCUGGCUUCCUUUUUUUUUAGAGCCUCGGCCACGGCAUAUGGAAGUUUCUAGGCUAGGGGACCAACUGGAGCCGCAGCUUCCAACCUACACCACAGCCACAGCAACACAGGAGCUCAGCUGCAUCUUUGACCUAUACUACAGCUCACAGCAAUGCCAGAUCCUUAACCCACUGAGCGAGGCCAGGGAUUGAACCCGUGUCCUCAUGAAUACCAGUCGAGUUCAUUACUGUGGAGCCACGACGGGAACUCCCUGUCCUGGCUUCUAUCAUUUAACUGAGGCAGUUUGUCUGAAGUUACACCUUGGGUAAAGGGACUUUUCCACCACCUGGAGUGUUGAGCCCCCAGACUGGGCAGUGUCCCUGAGUGGGCACUGACAAGAGGGGUGGGGCUGACUUUACAAGUUGGCUCUGUCCUGGCCCUGACCUCACCAGGGGCAGGCUGGACCUCUGUGUGUCUGGGGCGAAGGCUGUGCAUUCUCAGCGAAGGGAAAAAAGGCCUUGCAGGGGGUAGUCUUUAAGGCAUGUGGAUGCACACACACACACACACACACACACACACACGCGCGCACACACACACACACACACACAUGCACGCACACGUACACCCGCACACACGAUCCAUCUACCGCUUGAAGUUUGGUUACAACUGCAAGCUUCCUAAUAAAUCUCUGAUCUCGCCCAGAAAGCUGUUGUGAAGUCGGUGGAAGGAACGCUUUUAAAGUGACCCUCCAUUUAAGCCCUGAGUCAAAGCCUUGUGUGUUUUCUUUCCUUUUCUUAACUGGAAGGUUAUGUGUUUCUUAGCUACUGGUCAGACUGGAUGAGACUGCCAAAAAGCUUUCAGGGAAUUUCCUCACCAUGUAACAAAUUUAUGAGUCAUAUGAGAAACUGGGAAAUGCUUCAACCAGCUGCCUCUCAUUGACUCAGAGCCUUUUUUACAACACCUUGGUGCUGGGGCCUCGGAUGGAGCCAGCAGAAGGGUUCAUUAUAACUACAAAGGGCCUGACACUGCCUGGGAGGAAGAGGUCUUGGUCCCCUGGUCUUGGUCCCCCGUGUCACCUCUACUAUCCUGUCCUUUACAGCAGAGAGCUAUAAAAGUUCUCUGAAACUGCUCAGCCCCUUCAAGGCCACCUACAGAGGUCCUGGUUGUUCCCUAAAGGACUGGCAGAUGGAUGGGAGGGAGGGAGGGUGGACAAAGGUAGGUUUUAGGCUUCAGCCUCCACCUCCACCUAGAUAACCCGUGGCACUUCGAAUGUGACUCGCCUGAAACGAGCUCUCUCUCUGCUCCUCACCCGUGCUGUCCUCCCCAUCCUACAAAAUGCUAACGUCAUCCGUGCUGGGUUGGAUUUUCCCCAAAUGGUCCCCAGCCCACAUGCUCUUCCACAAGGUGCCCUUGCCACUCCUUUAUCAAGAGGGAGAGUGAAUCUUUCAUCCUCUUGAAAUGGUCCAUGCUCUGUGACUGCUUCGAAUAAUGGAAUAGGGUGGGAGUGACACUGCUAGUUUAGGGACAUAGUCCUUUUUUGUUUGUUUUUUUGUUACGGGUUUUUUUUUUUUUUCUCUUUUUUGUUAGGAUGCGCCUGCGGCAUAUGGAAGUUCCAAGGCUAGGGGUUGACUUGGAGCUGUAGCUGCCGGCCUACACCACAGCCACAGCAACAGCAAAUCCAAGCCACAUCCCCAGCCUACACUACAGCUUGUGGCAACUCCAGAUCCUUAACCUACUGAGUCAGGCCAGGGAUUGAACCCCAAUCCUCAUGGAUACUAGUCGGGUUCAGUGCCUCGGGAACUCCCUGGGGGCAUAGUUCAUCAUUAGGCUGACCGCUUCUGGUUCAGGACUUUUGGAAGGCAGCUGCCGUGUAAGAAGUGUGACUCCUCAGGGAAUACCAUGCUCUGUGUGCGUGUGUCUGAGAGAGAGAGAGAGAGAGAGAGAAAGAGAGAGAGAGAGAGAGAGAGAGAGAGACGGACAGAGCAAAGGCUCUAAGGAGGAAGUCAUCUCACCAGCCAUCCAAGGCGAUCUGCUCCCCCAGCCUCCCAGCUGUACUGCAUGGAGCAGAGACAAACCACCCAACCAGCUUCUUCCUAACUUCUGACUCACAAAAUCCUGAACAAAGCACAUGGUUGUUUCAUGCCCCAAGAUCUGGGGUAGUUUCUGACGAAGCAGUGGGUAACUGAGAUACCCUCUUCCCAAUUGCCAGACGGGACCCUCCCCAGAGUCCCUGGCCUGUUCUCUCCCUCACACUCACCUCCAUGCCUUCCGCAAACUCCGCUGGCUCUCCCUUCAGACUGCAUCCAGCAUCCGACCACUUUUCUCUCCUGAGCUGGCAUCUCCAUCCCCGCACCCCCCCACCCCACAUCUCUACCCCCCCCCAUCCCCCAGGUCAUUGCAGCAGCCGCCUCCUAACUGCCCCCUUCCGUCUCCUCUCUAUGGAGCCGCAUGAGGGAUCCUGCAGAGCCCGAGGCAGACCUUGUUGCUCCCCUGAGACCCUCUGAGGCGCCCACCUCCCUCUGGCCCCUGUACCUGUAACGUUGUUUCCUAGUUCCCUCCCUCACUGGCGCUGGCCCACAUGCAUGGGCCUCCCUGUUGCCCCUCUGCCCGGCCUCAGGCCCUGCAUUUAUGACUCCUCUUUGCUGGGACACCCCUGCCCAGAUGGCUGCAUGGCUCACAGCUCACCUCUGUACAGUCCGGAUUCAGUCGCCACCACCGACGCCGGCCUCUGUCGCAUCCGCUCCACGCCCCUUCCCUGCUGCUCCAAAUGCUUUCUCAUCACCUGUGUCAGCGGAGGGGCCCUGUGGUCCAGGCAUUGGGUUCCUGUCUCUCCUUCCCUACAAUGUGGGCUCCACGGGGGCGGGAUUUUGGUCAGCUGGGUUCACAGACAUCUAGAUCCACGAGGAGCACGUAGUGGGAGCUCAAAAACCAUUUGCCCAGAACCUGAGCCUCAUCUUUCUCAGCCUUGGUUUCUGAACUCUGAAAUAAGAGAGAUCAUUGUCACUUUCAGGAGGUUGUGAGGACUAAAUAAUGACAUUUGUGCACAGCUCAUGGCAUUGAACCCGGUGCAGAACAGUGCUUGGGAAACCCAAGGGCUUUUUCCCACAUUCCUGUUCACCUCUAACAACUGGCUGCUCGAAGAAUCUAUGCUGGGAAGGCUGGGGAGAAAUUAUGUAGAUUUUAUAUAUAUAUAUAGUUAUAUACAGUAAUAGAAUUAUAUUAACAUAGAAAAUGUUAAUAUAAAAAUAAACUUAAAAUUAUUUAUAUAUUUAUUGUAUAUAUAAAAGGACAUGGGGGAGUUCCUCUUCAUGGCUCAGCGGUUAAUGAAUCUGACUAGCAUCCAUGAGGACCCAGAUUUGAUCCCUGGCCUCGCUCAGUGGGUUAAGGAUCUGGUGUUGCCGUGAGCUGCAGUAUGGGUCACAGACGCGGCUUGGAUCUGGCGCUGCUGUGGCUAUGGCUGUGGCUGGCAGCUGCAGCUCUGAUUCGACCCCUAGCCUGGGAACUGCAAAUGCCACCGGUGCAGUCCUAAAAAGCAAAAAAAACAAAAAACGACAUUGGUAAAAUCCAGAUGUGUUUCUAGUAAAGGGUCCUGGAUGUAGCUAAUGCUUGCUCUUGCAUUGUUUUUGGUCUUUACUACCUUCCAGAAUGAUUACUUUUAUUUUUUGGAAACAUCUGUAGCAUAUGGAAAUUUCCAGGCCAGAGAUCAAACCUAUGCCACAGCCGCGAUCUGAGUCACUGCCGUGACAAUGCAGUGACUUAACCCUCUGUGUCACAAAAGAAGUCCCUAGAGUGAUCACUUUUAUAAGUUUACAAUCCAUGUGAUGGAGUGUGUUCUAUCAGAUCUGUCGUUACUUCCUGACUCAGUGGCUGGGUCUCAAAUUCCUGGUUCAAGAUGGAAUAAAUGAGUGGCCUCCUUGGGUCAGUUGUCCGUGCCUGGUCUGGACAGUGACCGCAGGGGUGGGGGAGAAGGGUUGAGCAGUCAGACAUGCCCCCCUCCCUUUUCUUUAAUGGCCACACUGGGGCAUAUGGACAUUCCCAGGCUAGGGGUUGAAUCAGAGCUGCAGCUGUGACCUGUGCCACAGCCACAGCAAUACCAGAUCCAAGCCACAUCUGCGACCUAUGCUGCAGCUUGUGGCAACGCUGGAUCCUUAACUCACUGAGCGAGGCCAGGGAUGGAACCUGCAUCUUCACAGAGACACAGUGAGAACUCCCAGACAUGCUGCCUCAGACUAGCAGCCAUGGCUGGUGUUAUGGGGAGGGGCCGCUCCCAGGAAAGGGGGCUGCCUACAUGAUACCUCCUCAUGUUUGUCACAGACCUAUGUUCCGCUGAUCCAGAGCCUGUCCCCGGAUCUCAUCAUCCAGGUCUGAGGAGCAAGUCUGUGCCCCCUAGGAUCGGCCCUUUCUAGCCUGCCACACCCCAUGCUGUCUCCUUCCCUUCCCCCCUCCAGGCUGGGGGCCCAUCUCUUUAGUCCGCCUGCAUCCUCGGUGGCCUUUCCCUAUGUUCCCACAGGAAGCAGUAACAGAGGGACCUUAGAGGAGGGCUUAUGUGCAAAGGUAGGGGAGCCAGAGGGACUGUGCAGGGUUAGUACAGGCCCAGCUGUUCCCACUCUGAGGCCCAAGUGAAAGGGAGGAGCUGUUUCUGGUAACAGGAAGGAGAACCAUCUGGAGAAGUGGCGACACAGCCCAUCCAGGGCGAUGGUGCAGGGAGGGGAACACAGUGAACAGGCCCUAGGCCUCAUUCUCUCCUGUCCUCUGAGCUCCUGCCAGGCCUGUCCCAGGUUGAACCCAACCAGAGGCCAGAGGACAGGUGGCCCGUGGGUCAUGGAUGUAGCCUGUGGCUGGUCGAUGGGUCCUGGAGCAGGAGGAAGAGUGGGGAGGGGUUGCUGUAAAGGAAGGCCCAGUCCCUCCACUGUGCUUCCCUGGUUCUCUCCAAGUGCACUCGGCAUUCCAGGCCUGGUGGCUGUGGGACUUGGGCCAAGAGAGGCUCCAGUUUGUGGUACCCUCUUCAAGUAAUGUCUGCCACUGGGGGGCGAAGAACACAUUGGCCAUUCUCUUUAGGAAUUCUUGAGUCAUAGCUGAUGAUUAAUACAGAAUCUACAGUACACACUGUUUGGGUCAUUUUCCCCAAAUAUAGAUCCUUAUACUUAUUUGUCUAAAACUCCAACCGCGUACUCACGCAGUAGGAGGGCACCCUGUGGCUUCUUCCUGGGUGUGGAUUCCUCAUGGACUGACCGAGGGGUAGGGCUUAUUUCCUGAGAGUCCAGCUGUAUCAUUCCACCACAAGAACACAGGAGCCCAGGGAGUUCCUGUUGUGGCUCAGCAGAAACGAACCUGCGUCCAUGAGGACGCAGGUUUGAUCCCUGGCCUCGCUCAAGGGGUUAAGGAUCCGGCGUUGCUGUGAGCUGUGGUGUAGGUUGCUGAUGUGGCUUGGAUCUGGUGUGGCUGUGGCUGUGGUGUAGGCCGGCAGCUACAGCUCAGAUUUGACCCCUAGCCUGGGAACCUCCAUAUGCCGUGGGGGCGGCCCUAAAAAAA
rnacentral:lncRNA from 1 species